UCCCAGUCGGACCCAUCUGAGCUCCUCCAGUUUGUAGCCCUCUCUGUACCAUUCCACAAUAUACUCUGCUUGUUCAGGUGCAGUUACAGGCUUUCUCCAGGAGAUGGCGACACUGUGGUUGUCUGCAGUGACGUGUACAUCCUGAGGGGGCUUGGCUGUGAAAGCAGGAGCAAGAACAGUACAUCCUCUUGAACUUCAACUUCACUUUCAGAAGGCAGAGACAGUUGCGCUCCACUCACUCCAAUGUCCGCUGCUGAAUUUGGACCUGGCUCUGAAAUGGUACAAUCUACAGGGCUCCAGAGAGGACAUGGACAGAGCUUGAUCCUGACUCAUCUGCACAACCUGAAAGAAUUUGCAGACUGAAUCAGCAAGUCAUGCAGUGAAGUACUACCUUCUGCAAAAUCUCUUGCAACAAGUCAAUAAAAUACCCUGGACUGUACAAAGUCUGGACCAAUGUGAACCAUUAAGACUUCUUACCGAGUCUGGAGACGACAUCCACCUCUGUGCCUCUGUUUUGUAUUGGAUCUCUAAGUGUUCUGUCUUCACAAGAUGUUCCACCUUGAUGUCGCAACUUCGAGAAGAACACUCAGGCUGGCCAAGAACUGGAGCGGAUGGCAUUGCUGCUCAGAGCAAUCACAAAAACACAUACAAGACAAGAAAAAGAUGUGGAGGAUGAUUUUCUGGAAGGAUGGAUUCCAACAUAUCAUUGCAAACCAACAUAGUUAGUCGUUACUUGAUGCAAAAGAGCAAGAAGAUUACUGGUAAACCGUUAUAAAAUUAAAGUUUUGAACUCUAAAGAAGGUUGAUAUCAUGCACUAAA